rnacentral:rRNA from 1 species
UACGUAGGGGGCUAGCGUUAUCCGGAAUUACUGGGCGUAAAGGGUGCGUAGGUGGUUUCUUAAGUCAGAGGUGAAAGGCUACGGCUCAACCGUAGUAAGCCUUUGAAACUGGGAAACUUGAGUGCAGGAGAGGAGAGUGGAAUUCCUAGUGUAGCGGUGAAAUGCGUAGAUAUUAGGAGGAACACCAGUUGCGAAGGCGGCUCUCUGGACUGUAACUGACACUG